AGACACCUGUUCAGAUAAAGGAAUUCGGUGCAAUAAAUAAAAUUGACUUCUGCCCAGUUUCUCCAUAUAACUAUGCUGUCACAGCCUCCUCAAGGAUCCACAUUUACGGUCGUUACUCUCAGGAACCAGUCAAAACGUUUUCUCGCUUCAAAGAUGCUGCUUAUUGUGCCACAUACAGAGACGAUGGCAAUCUGCUUGUUGCUGGCAGUGAGGAAGGCAGCAUUCGCCUCUUUGACCUUAGUGGAAGAGCACCCCUGAGACAAUUUGAUGGUCAUACUAAAGCUGCUCAUGUAGUGGGCUUCCUGUCUGAUAAAUACCGAAUAUUUUCUGGUGGUGAUGAUUACUCAUCAAAUUUGUGGGAUAUUCCAAGUGGUACGGAAAUCAUCUCAUACAGUGAACAUACAGACUAUGUGAGAUGCGGAUGUGCAAGUAAAGUGAAUGCAGAUGUGUUUAUAA